rnacentral:rRNA from 1 species
GUGUCAGCAGCCGCGGUAAUACAGAGGGUGCGAGCGUUGUUCGGAAUUACUGGGCGUAAAGCGCGCGCAGGCGGCUCUUUAAGUCUGACGGUGAAAUGCCGGGGCUCAACCCCGUGCCCGCCGCGGAUACUGGAGAGCUGGAGACACGUAGAGGCAAGCGGAAUUCCGGGUGUAGCGGUGGAAUGCGUAGAGAUCCGGAAGAACACCGGAGGCGAAGGCGGCUUGCUGGGCGUAGUCUGACGCUGAGGCGCGAAAGCGUGGGGAGCGAACAGGAUUAGAUACCCUUGUAGUCC